GGGCCCGCACAAGCGGUGGAGCAUGUGGUUUAAUUCGAAGCAACGCGCAGAACCUUACCAGUCCUUGACAUGGGUAGUUUGGUAUUUGGAGACAGAUACCUUCAGUUUGGCUGGCUACCACACAGGUGCUGCAUGGCUGUCGUCAGUUCGUGUCGUGAGAUGUUGGGUUAAGUCCCGCAACGAGCGCAACCCUCAUCUUUAGUUGCCAUCGGUUCGGCCGGGCACUCUAGAGAAACUGCCUGCGAUGAGCAGGAGGAAGGCGGGGAUGACGUCAAGUCCUCAUGGCCCUUAUGGACUGGGCUACACACGUGCUACAAUGGCGGUGACAAUGGGCAGCGACAGGGCGACCUGAAGCAAAUCCCUAAAAGCCGUCCCAGUUCGGAUUGUACUCUGCAACUCGAGUGCAUGAAGUUGGAAUC
rnacentral:rRNA from 1 species